GUGGGGAAUCUUGCGCAAUGGGCGAAAGCCUGACGCAGCCAUGCCGCGUGAAUGAUGAAGGUCUUAGGAUUGUAAAAUUCUUUCACCGGGGACGAUAAUGACGGUACCCGGAGAAGAAGCCCCGGCUAACUUCGUGCCAGCAGCCGCGGUAAUGCGAAGGGGGCUAGCGUUGCUCGGAAUUACUGGGCGUAAAGGGCGCGUAGGCGGACAGUUUAGUCAGAGGUGAAAGCCCAGGGCUCAACCUGGGAAUUGCCUUUGAUACUGGCUGUCUUGAGUACGGGAGAGGUGAGUGGAACUCCGAGUGUAGAGGUGAAAUUCGUAGAUAUUCGGAAGAACACCAGUGGCGAAGGCGACUCACUGGCCCGUUACUGACGCUGAGGCGCGAAAGCGUGGGGAGCAAACAGGAUUAGAAACCCGGGUAGUCC
rnacentral:rRNA from 1 species